GAUGAACGCUGGCGGCGUGCCUAAUACAUGCAAGUCGAGCGAACAGAUAAGGAGCUUGCUCCUUUGACGUUAGCGGCGGACGGGUGAGUAACACGUGGGUAACCUCCUUAUAUGACUGGAAUAACUCCGGGAAACCGGGGCUAAUGCCGGAUAACAUUUAGAACCGCAUGGUUCUAAAGUGAAAGAUGGUUUUGCUAUCUCUUCUAGAUGGACCGGGGCCGUAUUAGCUAGUUGGUAAGGUAACGGCUUACCAAGGCUACGAUACGUAGCCGACCUGAGAGGGUGAUCGGCCACACGGGAACUGAAACACGGUCCAGACUCCUACGGGAGGCAGCAGUAGGGAAUCUGCCGCAAUGGGCGAAAGCCUGACGGAGCAACGCCGCGUGAGUGAUGAAGGUCUUCGGAUCGUAAAACUCUGUUAUUAGGGAAGAACAAAUGUGUAAGUAACUGUGCACGGCGUGACGGUACCUAAUCAGAAAGCCACGGCUAACUACGUG
rnacentral:rRNA from 1 species